AAUUGGCAUUUGGUCAACGACCUGGAAAAGCUAGCUCUAGCUCUUCUUCUCUUCAUAAACCUCUCACCGCUGAUCAUUUUGCUGGAAUAGCUCUUCUCACUCUCCGUAGUGCGGAAAUGAAGUUCAAGGACAAGUGGCUUGCUUGUGUUUCUUUUGGAGAACAGACAUUCCGUACACAAAUAUCUGAUCAGACAGACAAACCAGUCUGGAAUUCUGAAAAAAAGCUUCUUUUGGAAAAAGAUGGACCUCAUGUUGCAAGGAUAUCUGUGUUUGAGACGAAUACUGUGUCUAGCAACACUCUGGUAGGAUAUUGCGAGAUUAAUCUUCUUGAAUAUUUAACGCAGGGUGAGGAUUCUGACCCUGAGGUGCUGGACCUGUUAAAUCCAUCUUCAUCGGAUUUGAUAGUUGGGAAGAUUUAUAUUUCAUGCUCUGUUGAGGAUCCAGUUGAAACAGAAAAGAGUUUUGCAAGACGCAUCUUAUCUAUAGUGGACUAUAAUCAGGAUGGGAUGCUGUCAUUGUCUGAGUUUUCUGAUUUAAUUAAUGCUUUUGGGAAUCGACUGGCAGCUGAAAAGAAAGAGGAAUUGUUUAAAGCAGCUGACAAGAACGGGGAUGGUGUUGUUAGCAUGGAUGAGUUAGCUACCCUUCUUGCUUCUCAACAAGAAAAAGAACCAUUAAUUACUUGCUGUCCUGUUUGUGGUGAAGUUCUUGAAGUUUCUGAUAAGCUGAACAACAUGAUUCAUCUGACAUUGUGUUUUGACGAAGGAACUGGAAACCAGGUUAUGGAAGGAGGAUUUUUAACCGAUACACAGGCUUCAUAUGGGUGGAUGUUCAAACUAAGUGAGUGGGUCCACUACUCUUCUUAUGAUGUUGGUUUGAAUUCUGGAUCAAGCGCUUCUCAUAUUGUGGUAUUGGAUCGGAGGACAAAGACGCUUGUGGAAGAAACAAUUGACAGCAAAAUUGUUUUGUCAAUGAGAGCUAUAUACCAGUCAAAGCUUGGGAUUGGGCUUAUGGACAAAGGAGCAAAAGAAUUUUUGCUGAGCAUCUCUGAAAAGCAAGGGAAGAAAAUGAAUACAACGGAGUCUGCUAAAGACAUACCAAAGUUUGUUGACUUUUUCAAGGGUCAAAUCAAUUUGGCUGAAGCCAAGUACCCCGUGGAACAUUUUAAGACGUUCAAUGAAUUCUUUGUGCGAGAGCUGAAGCCAGGUGUUAGACCAAUUGCCUGCAAGGAACGGGAUGAUGUAGCUAUUUGUGGAGCAGAUAGCCGUUUGAUGGCGUUUACAACAGUAGAUGAUAGUAAAAGGUUUUGGAUUAAGGGACGAAAGUUUUCAAUAAAAGGUCUUCUUGGACCAGAAAUAAGUUCCAACGAAUUUGAUCAUGGAUCGUUGGUAAUAUUUCGUUUGGCACCACAGGACUAUCAUCGUUUUCAUUUCCCUGUUUCUGGAACUGUUGAGAAAUUUAUCGACAUACCUGGUGCUUUAUACACAGUUAACCCCAUUGCAGUCAAUAGCAAGUACUGUAAUGUAUUCACUGAAAACAAGCGAGUUGUGUCAAUUAUUUCAACACCUGAUUUUGGAAAGGUGGCAUUUAUAGCUAUUGGAGCUACUAUGGUUGGAAGCAUAACAUUUUCAAAGAAAGCGGGUGACCAUGUGAAGAAGGGAGAUGAGUUUGGAUAUUUCUCAUUUGGUGGAAGUACCGUAAUUUGUGUCUUUGAAAAGUUCACUGGAUUUAGACUGGCAUGAUAAUCAGCGAUAAGGUAUACUUACACCUUGGAUAAGUGUUAUCUCCUUUCCAGGGCAUUGGCAAAGUUUACCAGUAUCAGAUGUAUGGAGUAUACAUUGGAAGGGACCAAUAUUGAUCUUAGAUUAAGGACAUGGUACGUAGUUCAAUUGAGUGGGAGCGCUAAACAUAGAUAUGGAAUCUAUAGCUUCUAUAAGUAUUUGAAAGUGAAACGAUGAUUUUCUUCGAGCUUGGCUGAAUAUAGAUAAAUGAUUGAGGCCUCAUUUCAAUAAUUAUAUUAGUUUACUGAAGUAUCAUUUAUAGGUUGCUAAGUGUUUUAAGGAUAAAAUACAUUGAAGGAUAGAAUAGUAAAUUUGUCCCUAUUUAGUGUAGAUCAUCUAUAGAGGAUCUUUGACUAUUAGGAUUGUUACAAUGGAUAAUCAUAACGUAUCUAUAUUGUGGUACAUAUAGAGCAUUCUAUAUAACUAAGAGUGCUAUUCAAUUCUAAAUCUAUAGUGGCGCAAGGCGAAAUUAAUAAGUUGAGAAUUUACCAAGUAAAUUCUCAACUUAUUAAUUUCGCCUUGAGAAUUUACCAAAGAUCUACUUAUUGAAAUCUCAGUUAUAUAGGUCUAUGAUCCCCUCACUAGUUGAG